rnacentral:lncRNA from 10 species
AUCGCGAGAUCAGGAAGGUGGCCGAGUGUGUCGCCGCGGCCAUCAGGCACUUCUCCUUCCUGCCCUUGUAUGAAGAAGGAUGUGUUUGCUUCCCCUUGUGCCAUGAUUGUAAAUUUCCUGAGGCCUCCUCAGCCCUGCAGAACUGGCUAGAGCAAUGUAUCUUAGGCUCACUUAAGGAAGCUGUAGAGAUGAGCCCAAGGAGGGAAACCAGAAGAGCCCCCCAGGCUCACCAGUUGUUUGUUGGCUCCCUACAAACAUGUCAUUCAAGUGGCUAAUCUUACAACAGCACAAAUUCAUCUAACCAGAAAGAGAAGAGGAGGCUCCAAAGGCACUUGACUACUGAGCAUCACCCUGGACGUGUACAAGUCUGCGUCCUUAUUGUUUUCUUCAUUGGGCCGAACUUUCUGGUCCUCAUCCAACAGCUCUUCUAUCACGUGUUCGAAAGUGUCAGCCAAUGAUGUCAAGCCUCUUGAACCUGCCUUGGGCCCAUUCACGCUCUCCAGAGUCCCAUGGGUCCGCACACCUGGAGAUACUCUAUUAUAGCAAAGAAGAAAGAUAAUUUCAUUGAGCCAUCCUGUUUUACAGGAAAUUCUGCAAGUGGCAACGUGGGUCCAUUCCGUGUGUGUCACUAGAGCUGGCGCAAGCCCAUGGCCAUGGUGAGGCAGCGUUUCCACUGGAACUAAUCUGAUACCUGCACCAGCUCUUGCAACUGUGCAGUGUUCCCACUGCAAACUACGGAUGGGGAUUUUCCCUCCUGGUGAGUCAAAAUGAACAAGAAAUACCCCAGGACCUCCCUUCCCUCCUUGGCCAUUAAUGAGAUGAAGGCAAUUAACUCACAUAGUAUAAAUGAAUCAUUUGAGGUGAUGACUGCAUUUUAGGCAAAUGAUGACUUUCUUGGUUCCAUUGGUUUGCAAGUAAAAGUUACACACAUUGAAAAGACACUGAAACAGAUUUCCUAAAUGCUUCAUUUUCUGGAUGCACCAAUGUUGACCUACUAUACAUGUUAAAUGGUUUUAAAAUAUCACCUUAAAAUAAAGGAAACUUCCAGCUACUAACUCAGCUCUGAAUGGGCUAUGAAAGGCUCCAAAGGUAUGUGAAAAAUUACUGUUAUUUUGCUUUAAAAAAUGUGAUGUCUAAGAGUGUCUGCAAUGUUCUAAUGCUUCAAAACAUGUACGUAAGCCUUGUUUAUCUGGAAAUCAUUUCUUUCUGCUUAUAUCAUUUAUAAAUAGAAAAUGUUCUGUAAUAACUUAAAAUAGUUCCACAUACAUAAUGCUUUUAGUGUCAUAAUACUUACUACUGGUCUAUAUUUACCAACAUUUAUCACAUUUUACAAAAUGAAGUAGAAGAAAAAAAAGACAACGACUUUAUGGCCCUGGAAUUCCAGUAAUGGUGACCAACAUGUUUUAAAUUCCAGUAAAGGUUAUGGUUACAUUUCAACAA